rnacentral:rRNA from 1 species
UACGUAGGUGACAAGCGUUGUCCGGAUUUACUGGGCGUAAAGAGCGCGCAGGCGGUCGUUCAAGUCGAGUGUGAAAGCCCCCGGCUCAACUGGGGAGGGUCACUCGAUACUGAUCGACUCGAAGGCAGGAGAGGGUAGUGGAAUUCCCGGUGUAGUGGUGAAAUGCGUAGAUAUCGGGAGGAACACCAGUGGCGAAGGCGACUACCUGGCCUGUUCUUGACGCUGAGGCGCGAAAGCGUGGGGAGCGAACGGG